UGACUUACAUUUAAGGAAAGAUGCUCUCAAGACUUGGGAGGGUCCCUUUUGCACCUACAGUAAUAGAGUAUAGACAGAUGCGUUCUUUUUCCUGGUUUUAGAGUGUGUACAUGAAACGGGGAAGGAAGGUCUGGUGGGCAGGACAAAAGUUUCAGGGAGGGCCCCCAACACAUAAGCCAUGAGUGCCCUCACUUCGUUUGUGACGCGGAGACCCAGCUCUGGGCCCUGAUGCCGGGAAGUGAGGACUCCCGGAGACAGCAGGGCUGUCGCCGCUGCAGAGGGGACCUCCCUGCGUCCAGUCUCAGCCGAAUCUCCCACAGCCAGCAGCCUAGGCCGGCGCCAGGCGCCUGCGGAACUUAGCUGAAGCAGAACCUUAGUGCGCGGGUCCCGCGGAGGAGGACCGGUGGGCUGAGUCACGCGCCCCGCGCCUCUCCCUUCCGCCCAGGAGAGGAUGGUCUCAAGGUACAUCCAUUUAGUUACAAAUGUGCCAGACCCCACAGUACUGGUCAUGCCCAAAGCAUGCUGUGAGCAGUGUGGGCUGCAGAGUUAGCCCCUCCUGGCUCACUGUAAGAAGUGAGUCUGAAGCUCCGCCACGCACAGAAGCAGCUCAUGAGCACCACGGGAGCAUGCAGCUCAACAUGACCUCCCUGUCCACGGCCACUGCCGAGACCAGAGUGAUGGCCUGUGAAGAUGUGGGGCUCGUACAAGACAAUGGAGAAACGCUGUGGCUGCCGUCCUAGAGUGAGUGCCAUGGACAGAGAUGGGGCCCCAGACAGCAGCGCCAAGUGGCACCCCACUGAGAGCCACUCAGAGGCUGAGUCUAAGGAGCCCCACACGGCCCAACACCUACAGAUGCUCAUGAGCAGAGGUCUGCUCAGAGGGGCCGCCCACGUCCACCAGGGAGACCUGUACCCAAGUGGGUGCCACGGGUGCCAAGCCAGAGCAGUGGUCCUGCGCGAGAGAUAAGAUGGAUCACUCUGGAGAGGACUACAGACUGUGGAAGCUCCUCACCACUGGGCCUGGUGUCUCCCAACAACUGCAGAACAUCCUGCUGAAGAUCCACACCCAUGCGUGUCAGUAAGCACUGUGUGUAUCUCAUUCCACUGCACCUGCCAGACAUGUGGCACUGCCAACAUUUCACCCAAAGGAUUGACCUGAGGACACCACUGUCUGCCUUGGACUGUGUGAUGCCUUGACCACGGCUCCUAUGGUGGGUUUUGUCAAUUUUGACCUCAGGACAGCUAAUAAUACCAUGUAGUGCAGAAUAUGAUCAAAAUAUUCUGCCUUUGUUCAAAACCCUGCAGUCCUAUAAUGAAGAAUGCAUCCAAGGAGUGUGGCCGGUGAUGUUGAGUGUAUUGCACCUAGAUCCCUUCUUUUUCUGGAUGUGAGCAUUUGGGAGAAUUGUAAAUAUUUAGAUAUAUUAGAUACAAAUUCUUUAUCAGGUAUAAAAUUUGAAAGUAUGAUUGCCAUACAUUGUUGUUUCAGUAUCUUGAUAGUGUCCUUUGAGGCACAAAAGUUUUUGAUGAAGUCCAGUUUACCUAUUUUGCCUUUUUGUUGCUCAUACUUUAGGUGUUAUAUCUAAGAAUCCAAAAUGAUGACUUAGCCCCAUCUGCUCUUCUGGGAGCUUUGCAGUUUUAGUCUUAGGUGAGCUCUUUGGCCCACUGAGUCAAUCCUUUUACCUCUGUGAUAUGAGGUAAGCAUUAAACUUCAUUUUUUUCUGUGAGCCCAGCACCAUUACUGAAAAGAAGAUUCUUUGCCUGUUGAAUGGUCUUGAAACUCUUGGCAAACUCAUGUGGACUUAGACCUUUGGAAAUGUUUGGGGCCUCCCAAUUACAUUCCAGGCUUCAGAUAUUUAUUCUUAGUCCAUUCAGUACAGUGUUGUUUUAACUUGCUUCUUAGUAAGUUUUGAAACCAGGAACUGUGAGUCCUUCCAUUUUAUUCUCCUUUUUCAGUGGUUUCAUGCAAUUUCAUAUAAACUUUAGAUUUAGCUUUUAAUUUCUACAAAGAAGCCUGCUGGGAUUGAGCUCAGCACCCUGAGCCUGCAAGGCAGGCACAGCACCACUGAGCUAAAUCCCCUGCCCAAGAAUAUGUUUGUUGAAAUUUAAUAGCUUUGCUAAUUUGGAUUUCAUAAUAUCUGACCCUUUAGCUUUCUUUUAUCAGUGUCACCAGCAUCUCUGUAUAUAGCUGUCAUUUGCAGGAUCCUGUUUGCCUCAGAUUUUACACCUGGUGAUAUUCCAAUCUACCUCCUCCCCAACUUAUUCAUACCUGUGCUUUCAGCUGGAGGUGUCAUUCACCCUUUACCUUUUUUAUUCUGGCCAUUUUCUCUCAUUCUACUGUCCCUGUUCAGGUGCCAACUGCCACAGCCCAUGUGGCUGAAGGGUUAAAAGAGUGAGAAACCAGGGUGAGAAAUUAAGAAACUGAAAGAGUAAGACAAAGACAAAAAGGACAGUAAAGUUCACAUAGCUGAGGCCAGGUGGAAACUCCUUAUCCUGAUGAGACAAAAAGCUUGGCUUGCAUUCUCAGCACCUUGAUUUGUAGUAGAUAAGAAACUUGAAGGGGAUGCCUGACUGGAACAGGGAGAAUGGCUAGGGUCUGCAGGAGACAAUGCUUGAUGUUUCUCUUGGGAAUGGGCGGGGAGGAAGACAGUUCUCUUCCUGGCCAGGCCUUGCUCCACCCUGCCCUCUUGUCACCUGUUCCCCUCCAUCUUCAGGAGGAGGCGAGUUAGACCUGGCCAUAGUGAUCCACAGCGCUGCACUCCCAGCAAAUGGAAGCUAUGAUUUUGAUGGGGCAGCACUGGAACUCUACAGCAUUGUGUGUGUGUGGGGGGGGCAUUACCAGCUUGAAAUUAACUGCUCUGAUUUGGGAACAUAAAAUAUUCUAUUUAUUAAGAUUUUCUUUAAUUCCCCUCAUCAGUAUUUGUAGUUUUUCCAGAGUAUGAGUUUUGCAUUUCUUUCAUAAAGACAUUCCUAAGUAUUUUUAUUGGUUUUGAUGUUUUCAUAAAUGGAAUUGUGUUCUGACUUUCAUUUUUGGAUUGUUUAUUGUAAGUAUAUAGGAGUACAAUAGAUUUUUGUGUUUUGUUCUUGUGUCCUGCAAUCUUGCUGAACUAGUUUAGAAGCUCUAAGAGUUUGAAUAGAUUAUUUGGGGUUUUCUAUACAUAAGAUCAUAUCAACUGCAAAGACAGGCAGCAGUUUUGCUUUCUCUCCUUUCCAGUUCACAUGCCUUUCAUUUCUUUCUCCUGCUGGCUUACCCUGACUCAAAGCUCCAGGACAGUGCUGACUGAUGUUCAAGGGUGGACCUCCUGCAUGGCUUCUAAUGUUAGAGGGAAAGUGUGUAGACUUUCACUAAGUGUGACAGGGUUGCUAACUGUGUAAGUGCUUUAUUAGGGUUGAAGAAAUUCCCUUCCAUUUGUAGUUUGUGGAGAGUUUUCAUCAUGAAAGAAUGUUGGAUUUUGUCAAAUGCUUUUCUUCAGCUAUUGAGAUAACUGUGAUUUUUGUUUUUUACUUAAAUGACAUAUUUGUAUCACAUUAAUUGGUUUCUGAAUGUUAAAAACUCUUUCAUUUCUGAGAUUAAAUCCCACCUAAUUGUGGUACCUAGUUAUUUUUAUAUGUUGUUAGAUUCAGUUUGAUAGUAUUUUGUCGAGGGUUUCCACAUUCAUGAGACAUUAUAUGUAGUUUUCUUGUGCUGGCUUUGGUAUAAGAAUGCUGGUACUGGCCUCAUGGAACUGAUGUAAGUUAAUUGAUAGAAGUUCUUUGAAUGGUGGAAUUCAACAGUAAAACCACCUAGGUUGUAUUUCUGUUGCAGGUAGCUUUUUUACUACUAGUUCAUCUCUACAUGUUCAGAUUGUCUGUUUCCUCUUGAGUCAGUUUCAGUAGUUGACAUAUUUAUAGGAAUUUGCUCAUUUCAUCUAAGUUUUCUAACUUUUGUUCACUUAUGGUUUAAAGGUUCCCCCUGUGUUCUCAUGGUUUUAUAGCACAUUUCCUUUUAGUGAUAAAUAGUAUUGUUUUAUGGAUGUGCCAGUUAGUUUAUGCAUUCACCUGUUGUUUAGCUUUCCUGUGGCUGUUUUCAUUUGCGAUUUGUAAAUGCAUAUGUACUCAUGUGUUUCAUGUAUUAUGAACAUGUAUGCAAACUGCUUUCCAUUUAUGGAUCCUGUUUGGUAGGAUAUCCUGUUCAGGUCUUUGUUCAUUAAUUGUAGUUUUUUACUCACUGUGAAUGUGAGCACGUGCUUUGCGAACAUUUUCUCCCAGUCAGCGGCUUGUGUCUUCUGUCUCGUAGUAGGUAAGAGAUCACGAAAUGGCUCAGGGCAGGGACUAUCCUGCAGAGGGAAGGCUCGGCCAUGUGAGUAGAGGUGAAGUCCUUUUGACCAUCUCAGAGGACGGCGAGGGAGACGGGGAGGCUACAGAGGCUGGGGCCAGAGUGCCGAUCGCCCGUCUCGCGCCCCUCCACCCCACGCGGCGCCCUGGUCCCAACGGUCCCCUAGCCGGUUCCGCAGACUCUAGGAGAGCAGCGCCCGAAACCCUCGCUCCGCCAUGGG
ensembl:lincRNA